GGCUGUAUGGUGUAGUGGUUAGCACGAGGUCCUUUCAAGGCUUCGGGCCCGGCUCGAAUCCGGGUACAGCCUCCA
rnacentral:tRNA from 1 species